rnacentral:lncRNA from 1 species
UUUUUUUUUUGGUACUGGGAAUUGAACUCAGGGGCACUCAACCACUGAGCCAUAUCCCCAGCCCGAUUUUGUGUUUUAUUUAGAGACAGAGUCUCACUGAGUUGUUAAGCAUCUCACAUUUGCUGAGGCUGGCUUUGAACUUGUGAUCUUCCUGUUUCAGCCUCCUUGAGCUGCUAGGAUUACAGGCAUGCAACACCAUGCCUGGCUUGAUUCAAAUUUUUACAGUUUGACAGAAUCAUACUCAAAUACCAUGCUAUCUAGCAACAUAGCAGAGUUUAGGUUAAUACAUUUAAGGACAGGGGUCUCUUUCAUUGAUUCUUAUGCCAGAGAAUGAUUUUUUGAAGCAAGCAAGCAUGAGACUGCAUCUACAUGAAAAUAAGUUGUGAACAGAAAACAGUUUUGUAUUGUUGUUAGAUUAAACCCAAGGACACUCUACCCAUGAGCUACAUUCCCAGUCAUUUUUUAAAAAUUUAUUUUAUUAUUUUAAUUAUUUAUUUUGAGACAGUGUUUUUAGAUUGGCCUCAAACUUGAGAUCCUCCUGCCUCAGCCUUUCAAGUAGCAGGGAUUACACAUGAGCACACACACCUGGUUUCAUAUGUGAUGAAUGUCAUCACCAUGGCAUAAGGCCACAACUACUUAAAUAAGCAAAGUCACUGAUAACAUCUGUGCCCUUCUAUUUAAGAAGUAAUAAUUUUAAAAAGUCACAUGCAAAGAUACCACUUAAUUGACAAGAAAUUUAAGGCUUGAUUCCACAUUUUUAAAAUAUAAUUGUCAUGUUCACAGAAUUACCAUUUUAUACCUCAAGCCAACUGUGUAACUCUAGUGUUAAACAUCAAAAAGCUCUACUAUUGAGAGUAAAGGAAUCCAGAGAAUUUUUUGGUUUGUUGUGUUUUUGUGAUACUGGGGAUUGAAACCAGGAACACUGUAUCAGUGAGAUACAUUCCUAAACCUUAUUAUAUUUUAUUUUGAGACAGGACCUAGCUAUGUUGUCCAGAUUGGCCUUGAACUUGCAAUCCUCUGACUCAUCCUUCUGAGUUACUGGGAUUAGAGGUUUGCAUCACCACACAGCCUCAGAGAAUUUUAACCCAUUGUUUUAUCUUGAUGUAAGCUCACUUUGCCUUGUAGACAUGACCUCAAAGUAUUUUCCCCCAUAUUUUUAUUAGUACAUUGUAAUUACACCUAACAGUGGGUUGCGUUAUUAGAUAUUCAGACAUGCACAUAAUAUAACAAUGUAAUUUGGCCAAUAUUAUUCCCCAGUAUUUCUAAUUUUCCUCUCCUCUUCCCUCCCUGUGGUCCUUUCCUCUGGUUUACUGGCUUCACUCUUCAUUCCAUGAGAUCCCUUCACCUUUCCUUCCAUUUUUUUUCUCUCUAGCUUCCACAUAUGAGAGAAAAUAUACAACCCUUGACUUUCUGAGUUUGGCUUAUUUUGCUUAACACAUGAUGCUUUCAAAUACUGCCUAUUUUCCUGCAAAUGACAUAAUUUUAUUCUUCCUUAUGGCUAAAUAAAAUUCCAUUAUGCAUAUAUACCACACUUGCUUUAUCCAUUUAUUACCCAUUGAUGGACCAGAGUUUGGCUAUUUUGAAUUGUGCUGCUGUUAGGAAGGGUAUGCAUGUAUCAUUAUAGUAUGAUGACUUUAAUUCUUUAAGGUAGACAUCAAGGAGUGGUAUAGCUGUGUCAUAUGAUGGUUCCAUUCUAUUUUUUUGAGGAACCUCCACACUGUUUUCUAUAGUGGUGGUAUUAAUUUAUAAUCACGCUAGAGUGUAAAAGUGUUCCUUUUUCUUCAUAUCCUCUCCCACAUUUAUUAUUGUUCUUUUCUUGAUGGCUGCCAUUCUAACUGGAGUGUUAUGAAAUCUCUGUGUCACUGUGUUAUGCUCAAAUUUGGGACGCCCAAAAGACCACCAGAGACCAAGAUCAAUGUAAGCAGCAAAGAGGUGUUUAUUGCAAGCUACCUCUCGGUCCUCUGCACGCACACAGCAACAGGUGAUUCUGAGAGACCCUGAGCCCAGGGUUUGCAGCAGUUUUAUACACUCUUUGGGGAAGGCAGGGACUUCACAUACAUCACAGCAUCUCUUAGCAAAUCAUCACACACCGAGGGAAAAUCAUACAACAACUCUAAAACAUGAUUAGCACAUUCACUGGCGGGAACAAGUUGGGUAAGGGUGAUUGGUUAGUACAAGACGGGGAUUACUUUGAACUGAAUGGUUUAAACCACGAGGGUUGUUCGUGCUGAACUACAUGGUUUCCCAACAUGUUAUUAACCACCAUAAACUACUGGGAGGGUCAACCGGCAUCCUUGGUAUUUUCCCUGUCUCAUGCUGAUUGGUGGUUGCUAGGGGAUUGCUAUGGGUCUUCACCUAGCCUGACUGAGUCAGGAACACCUGGUGCUGCAGAACUCUCCUGUUAUUUGUAGAUAAACAACUCAGCAAGGUGGGUAUGUGCUUAGGAGUGUUCUGUGGGUCUUUCCAAGGACAAGGGUCUUGCCCUCUUCCUUGGACAGGCUUUGCUCUGAGGUAGAGGCUGGUUUUUCAACUGUGAUUUGCAUUUUCCUAAUUUUUAAAGAUGUUGAACAUUUUUUUUCAUAUAUUGCUGUCUAUUUGUAUUUCUUCUUAAGAGAAGUGUCUGUUUAGAUCAUUUUCCCAUUGACUGGUUGGGUUAUUUGCUUUUUGGUGUUUUUUUUUUUUUGAACUUUUUAUAUAUUCUGGACAAUAGUCCUCUGUCAGAAGAGUAACUAGGAAGAUUUUCUCUCCUUCUAUAGGUUCUCUCUUCAUAUUCUUGCUUCUUUUCCUGUGCAGCCUCAAUCUAUUUUUUUUUAAAUCCAGUCAUUUGUUUCACCAGCUUAGUCACAUAAAUAUCCUACAUGCAGGAAUGGAAGAGACCUCGUCCAUCCUGUAAUAUCAGGGAUUAAAGAUAUCCAGCUCAUUUGUUUUCUGGCCAGAUAAGGCAUCAGAAUCACUCACUCACUCCAAAUAGAGUUUAGAGGAAAUCGCAUCACAGUAUUUAGAGGUGAUAAAGGAGAAACAUUUUUUUAAGUUAAAAACUAAACAUAUUUCUCUCUGUGUACAAAUAGAGCAGGGUUACUGAGAGAGUACAUUUGGGAAUUUUAGACAUUUGGAUUGUAAUGAAAGAGUGGCAGCUUCAGAAAGACUGUUUUAUAAAUAAGUCAUCUCACUGACAGCUGAAAGUGUCCCCCAUUGCCACAAAUUUUCUCUGCUUUUUAAUGUGUUGAUUUGUCUCCUCACCAUGCAUUGGUCUCCAUCCUUUCAAAGAAGAACAUUUAAAUACAAGAUAUAUAGAAAAACAGAUGACAUUGCUUUAAUACGCUAUAUUAUCACCUCUUUUUAUUUUUCAAACAGUCAUUUAUUUUGGUAGCAUCCUACUGGAGCCCAAGAAGAAAUUAAAGAAUCUGCAAUAUUACAUUUUGACAAUGCUAUCCUUUCAUUUAUUCUUAAAUGUGAUACAUUAGUAUGUUAAGUAAAUGCUCACCUUUGUAGAUUGCAUACUAGUGGUUAAGUGCUCAGGAUAUAGCUUCGUGAAGGCUGUAAUUCAUGAUACUUAGCAACUGUGUGACCAUCAACAUAAUACCUAUUCUCUUGUAGCCCUAAGUUCCUUAUCCUAAAAAGAGAAAAUAAUAAUGGUGUUUGCCUCACAGAGCUCUUAAAACUCAAUGGAGGUAAUAAGUACAAAUUCUUUAAAUUUUAGUUAGAAAGACAUCAUUUUCUUUUAUACCUUUGAUUAUAUGCCUUUCGUACCUAAGUGGAUUUUUAGUCAUUCAAAGUCAUUGUCCAGAUAAGGAACUUGCAUACUGAGAACAAUUAUAUCUUUCCUAAGACAUCCAAUGCUUUAAUAGAAGAAUCACAACUAGAGAAAAGUCUUUUUACAUUCCUACUCUUGUUCUACUUAUAAAAUAAGAUGUUAAAGAAAUAUAGUGCUCUCUACUUCCUGGCUGCCAUGUGCUGAGCUGCUUUUCCUCUACCUUAUUCUUCUACCAGGUUGUUCUUCCUCCUCUUGAACUCAAGCUAAGGAGUCAGACAACUGUAGACUGAACCUCAGAAACCUUGAGCCCAAAAUAAAUUUUCCCUCCUCUAAAAUAAUGAUGUAAAAACAUUCCAACAUAUAUUCUGUAAGAUUAGUAAAAUCAACAAAUAUUUAAUGAAACUGAGAAAGAGACAUUAUUGUCAAACUUGUUUCACCAACUUGUUCCUUAUUUCAGAAACUAUUGCAAACUAUAUGUUAAUGAUGAAAUACUUCAAUGUUUUUAACUGAAAAAGAAUAUAAGACGAUACAUCAUGAGAAAAAGUGUGUUCAUGAAACUGAUAAAAUAAAAAUAUUUUUGCCAUGAGAGUCAAAGAAGAAAUACUCUUCCAAUGUAAGCCUUAGUUGUAACCAAGUUCAGAUCCACUGUGCUUUCUGGAGAAUCCUGAGAACUUUCAGAAGAAUCUCAACCCUCAGAAUGAAGUCACUUCUUGUUAGAGUCUGUAAACAAGUCUGGAUGGCGCCUGGCAUUUUGUCUGCCGCAGUCCUACUGCAGCAAAAUAACGGGGGGGGGGGCGAACAACUGUGUAGAUUGAUACAGCAGGAGUGGAAGCCGUUUAUUGCAGGACAGGAGUGGUAUUUAUACAUUCCACACAGCUUAUCUAAUUAGCAUAAACUAGAUACAUCAGUCAACCAUCCACACUUAAUGGCUUGCUGGUGUUACUUCACAAACCACUCCCUCUGGCAUUUUGCCAGGCACCAUCCAGACUUGUUUACAGACUCUAACAACUUCUGGCAAGAAAACACUCAUUUGUCCACUGUCUCAGUCCUCAGCUAUCCCUUAUUGUCUCAAGACAAUUUAUACUUGUAUUUACACCUAGAGAUUUAUUCCCCCUACUGUCCUUCUCUAAAUAAGCUUUAAAAAGUAUAAAUACUCAAUUUUUCUUUGUAAAUAUAACUUUAGCUUAUAAAAUAAUAUAUCUUCACCCACUUAAACUGUAAACUCCACAAGGAUGAGUGAGGACCUUAUUUUGUUCUGUUAACCACUGUUUCACCAACACCUAGCAUAGUGUUUUGUACAUAGAGGUCCACUGCAAAUAUCACAUGAUUUUAUAAAACCUAGAGUUUUUGUACCUAGUAUGUGAAUCUUCAUAUAAAUAAAAUUGCAAAAUUAGUUUAUUGAUUUGUCUGUUAAUAUGUAAAAACAACUGGAUAGAUUUUCCACAAAUGUGAACAUUUUUAGAAUGUUCUUACUUAAAAUACAUGCAAACACUAGAGAAUACCUCAAAUUCAUACACUUUCAUCCUCAAGAAUAGCUAAGACUACUGAGUGUGGAGGUAUAGGCAGGUCUGUAAUCCCAGUUUCCAGGGAGGCUGAGGCAGAGGGAUCAUAAAUUUGAGGAGAGCCUGAAAACUUAAGGAGAGUCCGUCUCAAAAUAAAAAAUAAAAAAUGUUUGCGGUGUUUCUCAGAGGUAAAGUGUCCCUGAGUUCAAUCCCUGGUAUCCCCGCAACACACACACACACACACACACACACACACAGGAAUCAAAAUUGAAGGUGAACAAAGUAUAACUGUAUAAUAUAUGAUUUUUAACUUUAAUUGAAAAAGAUUGUCAUAUAUAUGUAGAGAGGGAAAUAGAUAGAUUGAUAGAUAAUGGUCAAUAAUAAUAAACAGUGGUUUAAGUUAUGAGACUGUAGUCAAAACUCACCAAUACAAAUGUUCUUCAUGACAAGCAUUGGCAUGCUCUAAAGAUGAUUCUACAUUAUCAAAGCAGAUCUUAAAACCCCUAUGAAGGCUAUUUUUUUCUUUUGUUUAUGGUGCUGGGAAUUAAACCCAGGGCCUCAUGAAAGCUAGGAAAGCACUUUACCACUGAGCUAAGUACUCAGCCCUUUUUACUUUAUUUUGAGACAGGAUCUCCCUAAAUUUCCCAGGCUGUCAUUGAAUUUAUAAUCUAUCUACCUCAGUCUCCCAACUAGCUAUGAUUACAGGUGCAUGUCCCCAUGCCCAGCAUGACAGAUAUUCUUAAGAUUUUGCUAACCAAAGAGACUAGACAAUCAUUAAGGCAAUACAAGGUCUGAAUUUUUAUAGUGAUCUUUGCUCCUUAUCUGAUAUAAGAUUACAAAAUCUCGAAUGCCCAAUUCAUCCAUUGCUCAUUUUGGUGCUCUUUGUUGCUUCAUGGUUCCAAUCUAUGUAACUGACAAACACGAGUUUUGCUACACCCUUGGGCUACUUUUAGCUGCUACUGACGUCCUGUGGCAGCAUUGUCCUUGUCCAUAGAUGGGGAAAUAGACACACCAUAAAAAUUGCGGAUUAAGCCAGGUGCAGUGUCACAUGCCUGUAAUCCCAGAUGCUUGGGAGGCUGAGAUAGGAGGAUUGUGAGUUCAAAGCCAGCCUCUGUAUUUUAGUGAGGGCCUAAGUAAUUCAGCAAGACCCUGUCUCUAAAUAAAAUACAAAAAAGGACUGGAGAUGUGGUUCAGUGGUUAAGCAUCCCUGAGUUCAAUCCCCAGUACCAACAACAACAACAACAAACCUGGUCACUAGGCCAAGUUUUGUUAUUUCCACAAUGCAUGAUCUUUAAUAAGUCAUUUUUCAAACCUAUGUGGCCUCAGCUACAAAUGUGAAUAUUAUUUUGUCAAAGGUUUUACUAAAUCUAGAUCUUAUUUUUAAUUCCAGUUGGAGCAAGAAAGAAGGUCUGAAGAUGCGAAUCAUGAAUAGCUUCACAAAGAAGCUUUUCUAUGCUCCUUAAAGUAAAAACAGGACUCAACCUAAUCCAGACUGAAAAUAUAGUGUUCAGAUAGAGAGAGCUAUGUUGAUUCAGGCACAGAGAUGGAAAAAUACACAUCACUUACUAGAUAGUGCCUAUCCUAGACAUUGGUAAAUGAUCAUUUGUAUUCUAUUCAUGAUGGAAAAUUGGUCAUUAAUAAGAGAUUAUGAAAGCUAAAUUUAUUCAAUAUAAAGAUCUUUGCUUUAUUCUAUUAUGUAAAAUGCCCAUUCCUUUGCAGAUAAACUAUCUUUUUAAUGUGGAGUAUCAGAAGUUCAUUACACAUCGUAUGAUUUUUCAAAAUGUCCUUAGUCUACAAAAAAUAAAAUUGACAGCCAUAGAAUGGCAUUUAAAAUGCUUUCUGAAAUAUUACUAGCCCAUGAAAAAAUAAUGGAAUCCCUUAUGCAAAUCAAAGAGAAAACAAUUUGGUGCUUCAGAAUCUUUGGUUGACUCUAUGAUUAAUAAGAGAAAUUGAAGGCCAUUAAUAUUAUCAUUAACACUACUUUACUAGAGAAGAAAUAAUGGAACAGAUAAGUCAGGUUUCAUUUUCUCUACUUUAUAAAUUAAAGGCACAUACUUUUAAUGCCUUCAAAUUUGGGAGUGACUUAGAUCAAAGGGGAGCUAUUUAAAAAUUAUUGGUUUCUGACUUAUUUUUUAAUAAUGCAUAAGAAAACAACUUAUAGAAGAAGUUCAUCUAGAAAAGGGAAAAUAACUAAGCAGUAUGAUCAAUGACAAAGAAAGAUAUGAACAAAGUGGCAUGAAUUCUUUUGUUUCAGACAUAUUCGGGUUAAUAUCACAAAUCCACCCUCUUUAGCUCUAUUUGUUUUGAAAAAUAAUGCAAGAGUUUAAAAGAAGCCGUAGAAGUACUAGAAGAAAACAUUGGUGAAUUCCUCUUUAAACUCAAUACAAUAGAAGACUAUGGGUCCAUCUACCUCUUCUACUUUCUUCUGGUAAGAACUUCACUUUCCUUUGGGAGGUUACAUGUGAUUUGGGUAGGAUUAUCAACCAAAGUACAUUGCCUUCUCUGGUGAAGACAUAGGUUAAUGAGUAAAACUAGUCCAGUAAGUCUUUCUUUUUUAGAAUUUUAAUAUAUUUGUGGAUCAUAUAAGCAUUAAAUAAGAGAGGAGCCAGAUAGUUACAGACUUCUUAGGCCCUCUCCUCCCUGAAAAGGCAGAAAUGAAUAAAAUGAAAGAAAGAGAGAGAGAGAGACAGAGGAAGGAAGACCUCACACUGGAAAUUACAUCGGGACUAAAGAAAAUAAAAGAUAACAACAUAUUUGAAUUUUUAAGGUGGUAGGAAGAUUAUAACAUAAAGAUUUGAAAUUUGAAAAAAAAAGUGGUAAAUAAUAAAUUAUAAAUAAUAAAUAAUAGGAAGAGUGAAGUCAUCUGAAAUUGGAUAAACAAUGAUUUCUGUUUUGAGUAUUUAGAGGAUAUAGAAGUUGGGCUGUUCAUAUUGUAAAACUGUACAACAGUCACAGUAAAUAGCAGAUGGAGUGAAGAAGUGGGCAUGCUAGGAUAGACAGGAAUAGUGCAUCCUAUCCUGCUGUGUUCUUGGUACACUCUGUACUGGAAACUUUUCAAUGGCACUAUUCACUCAUUUACCCUUCAGUAUUAUGUUGUAAGUUCUGUAAAUUAAUUUGCUAUCUUGACCAAGUUUUACUGAUAAUUGCAAAGUUCUCCUUUGUAUAUUUCUUCCAACACACCUAUUGCAGUUCAACUGUUACUUAUCACGUGUUAUAGUUUAGAUGUGAGGUGUCUCUCAAACACUCAUGUGUAAGACAAUUCAAGAAAGUUUUGAGUUCAGUUGAUUGGGUUAUAAGAACCUUAUCCUAAUCAGUUAAUUAAUCCCCUAUAGGGAUUAACGGGCUGGUAACUGUGAGCAGUCAGGGUAUGGCUAGAGUAGGUCGGUCAUUGGGGACAUGCCUUGGGGUUUAUAUUUUGUCCAUGAAGAGUGGAGUCUCACUAUCUGGCUUCUGGUGUGAUAUUCUGAACUGCUUUCUUCCACCACACACUUCUGUCAUGAUGUUUGGACUCUUGUUGGGCCCAGAGCAAUAGAGCCAACUGUUUAUAGACGGAGACCUCUGAAACUGUGAACCCCCAAAUAGACUUCUAUUUUAAAUUUGUUCUUGUCAGGUCUUUUGGUCAUACCAGCUAAAAAGCUGACUAAAACAGAAGUCAGUACUGGGAUUGGGGCCAUUGCUGUGACUAACAUGACCAUAUGGUUUAGAUGAUUUGGGAGCUUUUAAGAAUUUUGUGAUUUUUAAAGAGGCACGCUAGAAUAGUUUUAGCUUGUAGUAAAUGGAGUUUAAUGGGUGAUUCUGGUGGAAGCUCAGAACAUGGGAAUCUUGUUAGGAUAGUAAUGACUGAUCUCAAGAAGUUUCAGAAAGAGAAUGAGUACUCUAUUGGAAGUUGGACUACAGGCCAUUCAUAUUAUGUUCUGCCUAAGACAUCUACCUUUUCCCCAUGUCCUGAGACUUUCUGUGAUGCUGAAUUUAAAGAUGAUGAACUAAUUAAUCUGGCAGAAGAAAUUUCAACACAGCACAUCUCUCAGGGAGUGGCAUGGGUAUUGCUGACAGCUUUUAGCCAAAUUUAUUAUGAUCAUCAGGAACAGAAAGGAAAGAAGAAAUAUUUGAAAAACGUGCAGUUAGGCCAGAAAACUUUAAAUAAAACUGAAGAUAAGUAAUGUGGGUUGUUAGAGAUAUUAAAACCACUAAAGAAAUGCCAAAGACAACAAGAAAGAUGGUUUAAGGGCAUCUCAGGAAUUGGCAAGAUUAUACCCAUCUCAAGCUCAAAGGUAUAAAAGUAAACAUUUCUUUGAGAACAGAGCAGUGGGGCACUGGACGGGCACAGAGUGGCCUAGAAAGCAGAAUCACCAUGCUCAGCCACCCAGGCACUCAGAAGCUGCUGCAGUUAGGGUCCCAGGAGGCUUGAUUAUUGCUCUUUAUAGCAGGAGACCUUGGUGACAACCACAUGUUGCUGGUUCUUUAGGAAUGCAGGAAGCUGGAGAUAGGGGUUCCUGGAAGUAUCUACUGAGACUUCAAAGGAAGGCCUGGAAAGCCAAGCAAAUUGCAGCAGGGUCAGAGUCCCUGUGGGAUGCCCCUGAGAUGGGGAUGUGUGGUGAUGUGAGGAGGAAGCCAAAGCUGCAGUGGAGACCUCCAAGAUUAGGAAAUGCCUGUAAUGUGGAAUAUCUGCCAAGAAAAGCUGCAGACAUUGAACUGAGACAAGCCAACAGAAGCCAUGUAGGCUGCAAACAGUGAAGCCAUAUGAGUGGAUACACAAGCCCUAUGGAGAGAACACCACAAUGCCAUGUGCUCCAGAUGUCACACAUGGAACUAUAGGACUUGUUUACCCAGCUGGAUUUUGAUCUUGCUUUCAUUCCAUCCCUUCGGUUUUUAAACUCCUAUUUUUCCUUAUGGAAUGGUAAUGUUAACUCUGUACCUUUGCAUAUUAGGUAUAUGUAACUUUUGAUUUUUAUAGGGUGCAUAACAAAAAUUUUACUUGAGUUUCAGAAGAGACUUUGGACUUGGGCUUUGGGGAAAUCCUAGAACUGUUGACACUACAGGGACACUUGAGGUGAUCUAAAUAUAUUUCACAUUGUUAGAUAGGAAUGAGCUUAUGAGAGCCAAGGGUGGAAUGUUAUGGUUUAGAUAUGUGGUAUUCCCCAAAAUCUCAUUUGUGAGACAAUGCAAAAAAGUUUAGAGGUAAAAUGAUUGCAUUAUUAGACCUUUUACAUAAUCAGUGCAUUAAUCCCCUGAUGGGGAUUAACUGAGUGGUAACUGUAGGGAAGUAGGGUGUGGUUGAAGGAGGUGGGUCCAUUGGAAAGUGCUUUUUUGUGUUUAUAUUUUAUUGUGGUGAGGAGAGUGCCCACUCUCUCUUUCUGUCUGUCUGCUUCCUGGUGUCAUGUCCACUGAGCCAAUUUCCUCCACCUCUCUCCUCUGCCUCACCAAAAUCUGACUCACCACAAUCCCCAAGGAAUGGAGCCGGCUGUCUAGGGACUGAGACCUAUAAACCUUGAGUUCCUAAGUAAACGUUUCCUCUAAAAUUGUUCAUCAGGCCUUUUGGUCACAGCAGCAAAAGCAAAACAAAAAAACAAAACAAAACAAAACAAACAAAAAAACCUUAUAAAACAUUACUCAAGGUGUUUGUCACAUCACAUCUUCCUAAACAUGAUAAUCUGCAGACAGGUCUAGAACUGGCUGCUGAAUGAAAAAGUGAAGGAUUCAAAGGUCUAAAGACAGUAAAAUCAAAUGAUUUCAGUAUUUAAAAGGAAAGAAGAGAAUGGGAGAGAAUGAGAAUGAGAAAGAAGAGAAUUGGAGUCAUAAUACUGGUUGUGGAUAAAAAAAAAAUUACAGUUGAAGUGUUCUGAAGUACAUCAGGUAUCCUUGAAGAUCAGUCUCAGUAUAUGCAACUACAGUUGUGUAUAGAUGAAAUAGCAUUGAUAUAAAUAUUGAUUAUGAGAUAAAGAGAAUGUCCAUUUAGAUACUGAGGUUUCUCACAGUGAUGGCAGGAUCUGGGAUAGACAGGAGGUAUGUGAAUAAGAUUUGGGGAUUAACUAAGAGAUUAGAAAUAACAUUUGUAAGACAUACUGUUCAACCUUUUGUCAUAGCUGUAUUUUUUUCAGGAACUCCACAUUGUCACCAAUCAAAUAAAGUUCCUGCUCUAGGUUUACAGGAUUAAGUUUGAAUGUGAAAGCCAGACACAGUGGCACACACCUACAGUCCUACCAUUGGAGAGGCUAAAGUAGGAGGAUUGUGUGUCUGAUGCCAGCCUGAGCAACUUAGUGAGACCCCUGUCUAAAAAAAAUAAAUAGGGCUGGGGAUGUAACUCAGUGGAAAAGAAUAUCUGGGUUUAAUGCCUAGUACUACAAAAAAGAAAAAGAAAGAAAGAAAGCAUCAAAUAUGAAAAAAAGAGUAGAAAGCUGACAGCAGCUAUAAAAUGAAGAUAUUUCUUCCUGCUUCUGUUUCUAAGUAACACCACACUGGUCUUUAAUAUCUGGAACAAAGGUGAUCCUUUUCAUUUUAAAUUGAAGACCAAUAAAUCCUUUUUGUGGAGAUAUUCAAGUUUCACAAGGAUGAACAUGACAUUUGAAAGGAAAUAUUAAUUUUGUUAAUAUGAACCCAAAUAACAUACAAAAGUGGGUUUUAUAGUAUUGUACCAACUGGGGACAUUGCCUAUUCCUAAUAAAAGUGCCCUAUUGGUCUUCUAACAUAAACCUCACAGUAUUUUAUUGUAUAGGGGGGAUUUGUUUUCAGCAUUCACAGAUUAGACAAUUCAUUCAGUCUGAUACCAGGAAAAGGAUACCAUGGGCUGGAAGCAGGGAAGACUUUAGGAAAGCUUUCCUAAGGAUUUCAUUAGUUGAAUAAACUCUUGUGAGAGAAAUGAACUCAUCCUAUGGAUGCUGACAUGGGAUGAUUGGUGAGAGGAAGUGAGAGACAGUUUUGAGGGACCCAGAGGCCAAACAGAAAUACUUUGUCACUCGAAAGUGAGUAGCUUAAUUUCUCUGUGGAUUGAACCUCAGAAUGGAUGACUUUUGAAUAGAGCAUUACAUCAAUAGGGAAAUCCACAGGCUGUCAAGUGAAGGAAAUUGUUAUCUUCCAUGUUUCUCCUUUCAAAAAAGAGGCUUAUUAUUCUACCCAAGAAUAUAAAACUCCAAAGUUUUAUAUACUUAGAAUAAUUAUGAGGUGCUUGUUCCUAUACUAUGCAGUUAAUAGGAUGUGCAAUGUAUUUAAUGGAUGAGGAGCAAAAAACAAAACAAAACAAAACCCUAUGCUUACUAACUAUUUUCCUACUUACUGCUUAGCAAUUUAUUUAUCUGGGUACAGCAUUAUCCAACUAAAUAAUUACCACCAUUAAAGGGUAAAAUAUAGUUCAUAUCACACAAGCAUGGUAGAAGUAAUUAGAAUUGUAGGGUCAAUGUUUCUUCUCUCUCUCUCUCUCUCUCUCUCUCUCUCUCGCUCUCUUUCUUUCUAUCUUUUUAAGUAAUGAGGAUCAAAUUCAGGAUGCUUUACCACUGAGCAAUAUCCCCAGCCAUUUUUACUUUUUGUAUUUUGGAAAGCAUCUAAGUUGCUGAGAUUUGGCCUCAAAUUUGUGAUUCUCCUGCCUGAGCAGGAGAGUUAAUACCCAAGUCGCUGGUAUUAAUUAAUUAUAUAUAUGCACCACUUCACCCAACAGGUAUUAUCUUUUCAAACAGAAAAAUGUAGCUUUCACAUAACAAUAGCUGAUAGUUGAGUUAAGUACCAAAAGAUGGAGCCUAGAAAUAUAUUAAAGAGAAAAAAAAUCCACUAAACUAUAUUUUGUUCAUAGUGACUCUUAAUAUUUCAAGAAGCAAUUUGACACAUAUUAGUGUCCAGAGCCAAGUUGUCAUUCAAAAUCAAGAGUCAUACAAGCAAGGAUAAUGUGAGGUGUAUGAAAAUACAAAAUAAUUAAAUAUUUCAAUGAACUUUGCUCAAACUUCCUAAAGAAAUGGUGAAGGAUUAUUACAUUAUAGGUGUUACAUUACAUUAUAGGUGUUAUUGAUAUUACAUUAUAGGUGUUUGCAAUCCAAGGGAAACAAAGGAAAGGAGACAGGAAAAUAGAGCAACUACAAGAGGGACUUUUUACUAUGCCCAGUUGAUGUCAGGACAUCUUCAGAAACCAAAAUAAAAUUAUUUUGACUCAGAGAGAUUUAUUAUGAUAGGAAGAUAAGAUAUUUUUUUCCGAUGGCUGCUUCUUAGACUGCAUUCCCAUUGAUAAAUGCCUGUCCAGAAGUCAUUAACAGUCUAUAUAUUUUGACUGGCCCCUCACGUAAGCUUUCGGGAAUACAAAAAUUUCUAACGCAAUAGUGAAUCUUCUCAUCAGUCACUCUGUACAUAUGAGGUCUUUGCUCUGCAGCAGUUGCUGCAGAAUUAUGAGCUUGAGCCAUCUCUAGGUCAUUACACAGCGAGACAGCACACAAAAUCUAAAGUUAAGAAAGUAGGUGAGAUUAAGUAUAUCUUGCACAACUAUAAUUUAAUUUAGCAAAGAUCAUUCUUGUGCCAUUAUUUUUAUAUUUGGAUCAUCUAGGGCAGAAAAUUUCUCUCUCGUAUGGGAGAGGAUAUAUCUGGUCCUUCAGUUACCUCAAGUUGAAAUAUACAAAAAAUGAGUUACAUAAAAAUGCUAAACCAAAUAUAGAUGUCAACACUUUCUAUAUCUCUUUUCUCUCCCAUGGCCAUUGCUCUGAUCUAUGUUGGUUGCUGUUUGAAGGUAUAAUCCAUGGUGGUCUAUACACUUACCUGUCAUGGUGCCUUUGUGGAUAUGAUUGGUAAAACCAACUAUAGUGAAAUGUUGAAUACUGGAGCACCAUGAGAAGAAACUGAUGCAUUCCUUGGGAUAGACACAUUCUCCACUGACACCUUAGAGAUAAUCAGGGUAGAUUAUCACUAGAGCAAUUUACUAGUCUUUAAUACGAGAAUCUCAAAAUCACAAUAUGGAAACCCAGAUUGUAAUAUGGUAGGUAAUUUACUAUAUUU